AGCGAACGCUGGCGGCAGGCCUAACACAUGCAAGUCGAACGAACCUUUCGGGGUUAGUGGCGGACGGGUGAGUAACACGUGGGAACGUGCCUUUAGGUUCGGAAUAACUCAGGGAAACUUGUGCUAAUACCGAAUGUGCCCUUCGGGGGAAAGAUUAAUCGCCUUUAGAGCGGCCGGCGUCUGAUUAGCUAGUUGGUUGAGGUAAUGGCUCACCAAGGCGACGUUAAGUAGCUGGUCUGAGAGGAUGAUCAGCCACAUUGGGACUGAGACACGGCCCAAACUCCUACGGGAGGCAGCAGUGGGGAAUCUUGCGCAAUGGGCGAAAGCCUGACGCAGCCAUGCCGCGUGAAUGAUGAAGGUCUUAGGAUUGUAAAAUUCUUUCACCGGGGACGAUAAUGACGGUACCCGGAGAAGAAGCCCCGGCUAACUUCGUG
rnacentral:rRNA from 1 species